UACGGGGGGGGGCAAGCGUUGUUCGGAAUUACUGGGCGUAAAGGGCUCGUAGGCGGCCAACUAAGUCAGACGUGAAAUCCCUCGGCUUAACCGGGGAACUGCGUCUGAUACUGGAUGGCUUGAGAUUGGGAGAGGGAUGCGGAAUUCCAGGUGUAGCGGUGAAAUGCGUAGAUAUCGGGAAGAACACCCGUGGCUAAGGCGGCUCUCUAGUACGGUACUGACGCUGAGACGCG
rnacentral:rRNA from 1 species